UUUCUGAUUUUAAUUAUUUUACUUUUAUUAUUUUAAAUUUCUUUUUUGUUUAAAAAUUCAUAGUAAUUCCAUUUUUUAUCCAAAAAAAUCCCAAAAUAAUUUCUAAAAUUCUCUUUUAUUCUUCUUCACCUGAUUUUUAUUUUUCCAUUUUUAUUUCACUGAUUUUCUAUUUUCUCCUUUGUUUUAAUUGGUUUAAAAAUAUUUUUC
rnacentral:lncRNA from 1 species